AAGCGGUGGGGAACACGAGUUUUGGCACGGGUUUUGGGGGACCCACACCGGGGGUGGCGGCCUUGGCGGGCGCCGUGCCAAAGACGCACGCGGGGGGCGAGACACGCGGGACAUCCGGGAAGGGCUCCCAAAUCACAGCGUCCACGUCAGACGCGGGGAACAAGCUCAGAGCAGCCGCGGAAUUCCGAGCAGCACCCGUAAGUAGACGUAGGGGACGCACGGCGGUGACGCAGGACCCGGAAGUCGAACCGCGGCGGUCAGCUCGCAUCGCGGAGCAAACACGGGCACGGGCGAAGCAGGGAUCGUACACACGGAGCAAGGUCCGAAGUGGGUGUCGGCACGACACGUGAAGCCGUUUCGAACGCAAGAACAAAAGAACACAGAUCCCGGAAACAGAGAGACAAGUACUCAGACAGAGGAGGAGACUCAAACUACAAGCAAUAAUCUAGAAGAAACAGAAGAAUAAAAGACUUUGGGGGGUUUUCUGAAAAACUUUGGGUGGAAAAUGGUGAUAUUUAGUCAGAAAGGUGGGGUGAUAAACUUUGCAAUGUUCAUGUGUUUUGUCUCAUUGCCAAUGGUUUUGAACAACAAAGCAAAUUUACCAGUCAAUCAACCAGAGAAAAAUGUUUGGGAAGCUUUAGCCCAAGCAGCAGAUUUAGAUAGCAUUUGCCUGACGCACUCCAGACCAGAGAGGCCAUUUUCAGCAUGCAUGAUUGGAUUGCCAGUGAAUGAAUGGCCAAUUCCAAGACACACUGCAAUCGAGAUCUCACAAGUCGUUAAAGAUCCUGUGAAUGAAUAGUAUACUUGGACACAUUCUCUUCCUGUGACUUCUUCUGAACCUCAGGAAUUGGAGAUUUUCGGGUCCAUGACAAUGAAUGUAUGCAUGAAAUUUGAAAUUUCAAGUACAGCAAAGCCAAACAAAACUAUUGAUGUUACUCCCAGUCAUGAAUUCUACAGAAAUGCGUCAGCCUGGUGCAACAACACCAUGGUGACAGACAAAGGGUCACUCCAAGUCCCAGUGCAACUGCCAAGGGGAUUCUUUUUGAUUUGUGGAGACAGGAUUUGGCAUGGUAUUCCUGCGAAUGCCAAGGGAGGUCCAUGCAGCAUUGGAAGAAUUUCAAUGCUGACGCCAGAUUUAAAGAUGCAGAAAGAACAAAAACAUAAAGAAAAAAGAUCUUUACAAUAUUUCGAUGAGAAUUGUGAUGACAGGGUUUACACUUGGAGCAAGGCAAGGAGAAUUGCGAUAGCAAUUUUCUCACCUCAGGCAGCAUCAGGAAUUGCUUUGACUCAAUUGGAUCGUAUGGGUUGUUGGCUGAGCAAGCAUGCUCAAUCAGUCUCUCUUGCACUGAGUGACAUGUUACAGGACAUGAACAGUGUAAGACAGGCAACUCUGCAAAACAGAGCAGCAAUCGAUUAUCUUUUGCUUGCUCACGGCCAUGGGUGCAAAGAAUUUGAAGGAAUGUGCUGUAUGAAUCUCUCCGACCAUUUCAGGUCAAUUCAUGAAAAUAUCGAAAAAAUAGAGGAGAGUGUGAAGAAACUUGGCGAGAUCACUGGAUCUUGGAUUGAGGACAUGGCAAAGUUUUUUGAUCUUUCACCUUUGGGAAAAGAAAUUUUAAAGAUAGGAUUUCAAAUUUUGGUGAUUCUCAUAGUUCUCUUGAUUGUAAUCCCAUGCAUUCUUUUGUGUGUGCGGGGUGUCAUGAGUCGAGUUGUAAAGAGGGUGCUUUUGGUGCAAACAGAAGGGGGAGAUGUGGGAGCUCAGUACAUCACUCCGGAUGUCCAGAGCUACCAAGACAACCCUUGGGGGGCUCGGAAGCCCUGGAAUGUUGCCAAAAGUACCUGGUGGCUUGACUUUGAUCCUUUUAAAGAAAUGACACCUGAAGGUGAAGAGAUGAGAGAAUUUCAUGUCUAAAUGGUGAGGGGAUGUUAUUCACUUGUUAGAACUUAAGUUAGAAUGCACUGUACAGGGGGGUUUUAUGUAUUGUACAGGGGGGUCUAGAAUUCUGUGCAUGGAUCAGGAGUCCCAAGAUGGAGGAAUUUGGGCGUGCCCUGUCCUUCUUCUUUCUUCUCCUUGGCAUCCAUGUUCAGGAUGAUGUUGGCAUGUGUGGAUUGGUUCAUAGAAAGAGGACACUUGCCAACAAGGGCAGAAAGUAUUGGGAAGUAAAGGUAAAUAUCGAAUACGUAAUUUUCAUUAUAAAAGAGACAACCGCCUCGUGGGCGGGGGAGAGUGCCUUUGGCUGUCCUGCUGAACAGACCUCGGCUGGACAGACAGAAAAUCUUUGUAGAUAAGAAAUAAUAAACUCGACUGAAGACCGAAA